GUCUGGUUUUUAGGGGGAGUUGUGGGUUAUUGUUUGUUGCACCGUUCUGUUCGAUGUGUGUUUUCUUAUUUACUGAGUACCCUGUUAUUAACCAUCAUUUACCAUGGUUGCCUGUUUUGGGCACCCUCCUAUGCUUGCUUGACCUUGAGUAAAACGGUCGCAAGCUACCUCCCUGCGUGUGACUCCUGCUUCCAGGCGACAGGGCGUGACAAUGGCUGUUGCAUUAAACACACAAUAGAAAGACGCCAUGGUUAAUCUGAGUGGAAAGAUUACAGAGAACGCCUUUUCCCCUGAUAGCAUCCUCCACCGAGGAUGACCUCUGACCCUUCAAGACAAGAGGAACCAUCCUCUAAGAGCACGAGUCACACGCCUGAUGACGGAACAACAUCUCCAGAUUAUGUUCAACCGGCUGGGUACCCAGAUCAAUCCCCAAAAUAUAUUUGGGCUGAACCACAGGACGACACAGAAACACUAAAAGCAUCCAAUCGAGAAAGGCCUUCAACAGAAUUGGCCCUUGGACCAUACAACCCCAUUCUAUACGUGUCUCCAGGCCCGUACCAUGUAGAGUACCCACAUGAGUACCACUUCCUCCUGGAUGAACCAGAGAAAUGUCACUACAUGGCUGUGAUCACAACUAUCCUCUACACUCCAGAACAACUUCUGGGUGUAUGGAGAGACUUAUACAAAACUGAGCCUGUCUGUAAUCAAAACAGAUCAACUACUAAUGACAAGUUAGAGCGUUGAGACAUCAACUGAACGCCGUCCUGCGUCUACCAUUGAGGACAGUUUGGUAACAUCCUCAAAUUUUAUAAUUGGAAUGAAAGUGGUGAACUGAUAAACCUUUUUUUUACUGCCCGCUUGCAUGCCAUUGUGAUGACAUGUGUUUCUUUAUUUAAGCAAAGAUGUAUGCGUGAAUGUUCUUCUUUGACAUUGUAACUGAAAAUGUUGUUCUAUUGUUGUUUUUUAUUGACUUGUUGACUGUGCCAGUACAUCAGAAGGGUAGACUGAUAUGUUUUGUGAAAUGCUUUCCUUUAUAUCAGUACAGUGACUGACACAGAUGGAAAUUGGUAAAUCCAGCCAAAUAUUA
ensembl:lncRNA